CCCUUAGAUGUUCUGGGCUGCACGCGCGCUACACUGACACACGCAACGAGUCUCCUGCCCUGACAGGGUCGGGUAAUCAUUUGAGUGUGUGUCGUGAUGGGGAUAGAGUAUUGCAAUUAUUGCUCUUGAACGAGGAAUUCCUAGUAAGCACAAGUCAGCAGCUUGUGCUGAUUACGUCCCUGCCCUUUGUACACACCGCCCGUCACUCCUACCGAUUGAGUGAUCCGGUGAAUAACUCGGACCGGUGCAUUUUCCAGCUUCUGGAGGUUGUACUGGAAAGUUUAGUGAACCUUAUCACUUAGAGGAAGGAGAAGUCGUAACA
rnacentral:rRNA from 1 species